CAUAUACUCCCUCCGUUUGAAAUUACUUGUCUCGAAAAUGAAUGUAUCUAGAACUAAAACACGUCUAAAUACAUUCAUUUCUGUGACAAGUAAUUCCAACGAAGGGAGUAUAUA
rfam:Triticum urartu cultivar G1812 contig1162457, whole genome shotgun sequence.